ACCUUGUACUUGAUGGUGGAGAACAGGUGCAUGUAGCGGAUGUGGCAGCGGUUCUUGAGGGCUGGGUCCUUCUCGCAGACCAUAAUUUUGGAGCCAUGCCUGGAAAGGAAUGAGGCCCAGAAAGCGGCUGUUCCGUUGGUGUGCUCCCUGCUGGCUCCUGGCUGCAGCCUCCAAGGGUGCCACCACCUUAAGAAAGGCCAAGGCAUGAUCAGUGGCUGCCUUUAGUUUGGAAUGAGAAGAUGCAGAGAGGGACACCGUUUCUCAUGAAGCCACACACGAAACUGGAACUGAAAUUAAUCUCAGAAAGGUAUUACUCAUGCACAUGACUGCAUGUGGGAAGUUCUUUCUGUUGUCUGACUGUGCUUUUUGCUGCUGUGAGCAUUUAGCCCAGCUGUCCCACCUUCAGGCACUGGUCAAGGCGUGAGGACAGUCGGCUCAAGUUCCUGGAAGGAGGCAGCUUCUGUGAUCUGACCCAAGCAAGGAAUUUCUGUCUGUGGUUCCAGGGACACUGACACCUCCCUUCUGCGCCUCCCGACUCCCGCCCCCUGCCUGACAGGUGGGCAGGAAAUGGGAGGGGUAACUCCACAAGCCAGGGACAGGGAAGGGGAGUCCGUGUCUACACUUGUGGAGUGGCUGUAGCGACCCUCAGGGAACUGAGGUUUCUAUGGUAUAUGUGACUAGAGGUGACUUCAUGCACACGUCGAGUGUGUGAGACGCACAGGAGCCUGGGACACAAGCCCCCGAGUGCAAACCCGGCUUGGGGGCAGGAGAUGAGGGGCAGGAAGGAGAACUGCCCUGCAGCAGGUGGAGACACUGGCCAGAGCAGCCCCUCCCUGGCACAGGGGAGAGCACAUGGCCACCUGCAUCUGCCCACCCUGUCUUCCUUCCCAGGGAACCUGCCCAUCUUAGGUUGGUUUCCUGUCAUCCUGACUGCCUGUGCUGUUCCUGCCCUAUCUGCCCCAUGGGGGUGGGGUGGGGGUGGCCAAGGACACAGGAAGUGCCUUCUGGGGGCCUGUAGGCCAGGCCAGAGUUGGCAGCGGCUCUAGGAGAAAAGGACAUUCCGAGGUCGCUGAGAAACCGCCACUCCCCGCUCCUGCUCCUACCCCCCCUUACCCCGGCUUCAAAGGAGAAGAGCGCUUUGGGGGGGGGAGCUGCAGAGUCAGCGCCCUGCUGCCUGCCCCGGUGUGGAGGGCAGAGCAGGACACGGCACUGGGCUCACAGCCCCUUCCCCUGGGCAGGCUGAUACGUCUUCACCCCCUUCCUUCUGCCCCCCAGCCCCCCUCUCUGAGUGGGCAGGUCACAGGGGGCAGGGGCCAAGGAGGGGUUUGGUCUGUCAUCUGGAUACUCCUGCCUGGCCCAGGGCCCUGAGAAGAGGAGGGUUUGGGUUCCCUGACAGGGACCAGGUUUCUCAGAGGGAAAAGGAGGAAAGAAAAACAAAGAGAAGGAAGAAAAGGAGCAACUUGCUGCAGCUGGAGCCCAGCUGAGGGGCCGGGUGGGCGGAGACGGGGCGCUGUGAGAGACCAAGUGUGAGGCUGUGGGACAGUGUGGCGUUGGGAGGCCCUGCUGUUGAGUGUGCUGUGAGCUCGGGAAGGCUGUUUUUAAGUCACUGUGGCGGCGAGGUGGCUUCGUGCGUGAGUCUUGGUAAAGUGGAGGCCGUGGGGGACGAGCUGGACGACUGUGUCUGUGAGGGCAAGGCGUGGUCGCUCACGUCCUCCAGGGCGCUACUGUACCUGAAGCACACAGCCAGCCAGCAACACUGCCUGCUAUGGAGCUUAAGUCUAAGUGCACCCCCCCGAACAGGGUUUCAUGGUUGUCCUGGAACUCACUCUGUAGACCAGGCUGGCCUCGAACUCACAGAGAUCCGCUGGUCUCUGCCUCCCGAGUGCUGGGAUUAAAGGCUGCACCACCAUCCUGGCUCUGAAUGGAUGAUACCCCGAAUCCCCAGCAUGUCUACAAAUGGGCUAGACCUGGUGUGAGAGUAUGUCAGGGGUGUCUGAGCAAACGCCUACCCAUACAUACGACAAUGUCAUAUCUGGGUAUGCCGCAUGCUCUCAGGCAACCGAGUUUCCCCCGGUGGGGGUUUCUGAGAUGCCUAAGUGACUGUAUCAGCUAGCACAGUGCCUGAGUGUCAUUCAGGGCCGUGUGCGUGUGCAUGUGUGCGUGUGCCUCUGCUGGCCUGGGGUUUGUUUGUUUUCCUCCUAAUUGGCUUGUUUUUCCAUGUCCAGCCCACCAAACCGCAUGUUUUUCCUCUCAUCUAGCCAGCCCGCCUGGGCUGGAGCCCCCAGCACGCAUGAGGCCUGCCCGCUGGCCUAGAGAGGAGGAGAGGCAAGCUGCCCACACCCUGAGCCAGGCCAGAUCAGGCCAGGGUGGGGCGCACUGACCCUUCCGCUGCAGGCCUGCCCAUACCACACCCACACUCCUCUUGCCUGGCAUUCAAGGCUCAUGGCCUGUCUUAACCUUUGCUUGUGGGAUCUCUUGAGGUACCCCAAGUUUUGGACUCCCAAGCACACCCCCUCUUGCCUUCCACUCACUUCUCCUUGACAUCUUUAACCACAGUUCUAUGAGCUACUCUUCCCAGCCAAACAGAGCUGGGGGCAGCUCCUGGACCAGGAGCUUUAUCUUGACUCUUGGCCGGAGGGGCUGAACAAGAAACUGUCCAUUGAAAAAUUAUUUGAAUCUCUGGUUUGUCUUAGCUUAAGAUCGGAAUGAUAGGCAGUGUCCAGUAAACAAACAAACAAAACAGGAUUCUACUAGAAGGAACACUGUGAUCCCGUUUCCUACCACAUCAGUAGGAGCUGCCCUGCGGCUGUUCGAGGAGUCACCUGGGGGCAGAAAGGCGCAGGCCGCAGGGAGCUGCCUGGCUAAGGAGUCUCCCACCAGAUUAUCACUAUGGCCAAGUUCCUUUGGAAACUUGGAAGUAAAGACUGUACACUUAGCAUAAACAUUAAAUCAUAAUUCUUGGACUGAA